UUGUCUCCUUGCCUGUCCUGUGUGCUGUGUGUGUUGUCUCCUUGUCUGUCCUUCUGUGUGCUGUGUGUGUUGUCUCCUUGUCUGUCCUUCUGUGUGCUGUGUGUGUUGUCUCCUUGUCUGUCCUUCUGUGUGCUGUGUGUGUUGUCUCCUUGUCUGUCCUUCUGUGUGCUGUGUGUGUUGUCUCCUUGUCUGUCCUUCUGUGUGCUGUGUGUGUUGUCUCCUUGUCUGUCCUUCUGUGUGC
rnacentral:lncRNA from 1 species